rnacentral:rRNA from 1 species
AGUGAACGCUGGCGGUAGGCCUAACACAUGCAAGUCGAACGGCAGCACAGUAAGAGCUUGCUCUUACGGGUGGCGAGUGGCGGACGGGUGAGGAAUACAUCGGAAUCUACUUUUUCGUGGGGGAUAACGUAGGGAAACUUACGCUAAUACCGCAUACGACCUACGGGUGAAAGCAGGUGAUCUUCGGACCUUGCGCGAUUGAAUGGGCCGAUGUCGGAUUAGCUAGUUGGCGGGGUAAAGGCCCACCAAGGCGACGAUCCGUAGCUGGUCUGAGAGGAUGAUCAGCCACACUGGAACUGAGACACGGUCCAGACUCCUACGGGAGGCAGCAGUGGGGAAUAUUGGACAAUGGGCGCAAGCCUGAUCCAGCCAUACCGCGUGGGUGAAGAAGGCCUUCGGGUUGUAAAGCCCUUUUGUUGGGAAAGAAAAGCAGCAGGUUAAUACCCCGCUGUUCUGACGGUACCCAAAGAAUAAGCACCGGCUAACUUCGUG